AUGGAUUCAUUCUCUGAGUCACGGGGCUGUCCCUGGCACACUGACUGGAAGCCUCUAGUUUAUGAGUGGAGCUGGCGCUCUGCCCGGCCCUCUGGCUGCUCUGCCUCUCGUCCCACAGUUAACCCCUUACUUCUCUGGGAUCAGCUGUGCUCCACACUUAACCCUUUACUCACACUUUACGUCAGUCUGAGCCAGAUCCUCAGUAAAAGUUUAUUUUGAACUUUUACUAAAUGAUUAAAAGCCAACAUGAAAUCAAAAGUCAUACUAUUUUCCCGAUGCAUGUUAAUUAUCUUAUGUUGAUCGAUUCAUCGAUGUGUUAAGUUUUAAACCAAAAUAUUAUGGCAUGAUCAUCAAACUUCUCCAGACAUUUAGUCCUCUUAAACCCUGCUCCUACAAGCUUGUGUUCAUCUCAGCAUCCCAUCAACAACCAACAAAAUCAGUUGCACUUUAUUUUACAGUCCUGUUCCGUGCACAUACUCUGAGUAAUAACUAGGUACUAGCCCUAUACCUACCCCUAACCUUACCUUAGCGCGUGUAGUUAACUUAUACUAUGCAGUACUUUCUUGGGGAAGUACACUAUAAGUACACACACUGCAAAAUAAAGUGUAACCACAAAAUCUCCAUCCGGCUUUUAAUUUCUGAUAGUAUGUCACAGUCAGAUCUUACUGAAGAAAAGAUUGUGACUACUUCCAUUUUAUCACAACUUUAAAAUUAGUUUACCCGAAAGUAAAAAUUCAAAUGAUCAUUUACUCACCCAUUAAGAGACAGUUUUAAGAGACAGUUUUUUUUGUGUGUGUGUGUGUGUGUGUGUGUGUGUGUGUUCUUUUGUUAAUCCUUUAGAUUAUGGAACACAUAUUCACUAUUAACUAUUAACUAAGAGUUUAAAAGUUAGAAAAGUAGUUAUUAUGUUUAGGUAUUGGUGUUUGAAAAAGGGAUCUAAAAUAUGGUCAUGUAGAAUAAGGCAUUAAUAUGUGCUAAUAAGUACUAAUAAACAGCCAUAUUGGCUAGUAAUUUGCAUGCUCAUGAGCAACUAGUUAAUAGUGAGAAUGGGUCAUUAAAAUAAAAUGUUACCAUUCUUUUCUAUUGUUACAAUUCAAGCUUUUAAGCUUAAAAAAGGAUGCGAAAGCACCAAGUAAAAGUAUCCCAUAUGACUUGAGUGCUAUAUUUGAAGUCAAGUUUUAAAGUUGUGUGGAACAAACACAAAUUAAUCUAAAUAUAUGGUUCCAUUGAUGGGUUUUGAUUAUGUUGCAUGUUUUUUUUUUUUUUUUUUUACAUAAAAAAUUGAAAUGCAAUCCAAUACAUUUAAAUGUACUUUGGAAACAAACAAACAACAAAAAAAAAAAAAAAAUUUGCAAGAAACUAGAUGAAGGGUAUUUAAUCUAGCUGGUAAAUUAAAUCAAAUUCAGCUACCAGUCAUCUAAUCUUAUUUUUAGCAAGCUUCAUGAAAUGAGUACAUCAGGAAGGGUCACAGCACCAGCGAUGGCCGAACAUCCACACCCGUAACUGGACUAGUCAUAUUUAUAGACCACAGGAUUAGUUUCACUUCUUUCUUCCUCUGAACUUAGAGUUUCAUUUUUUCUUUUAUUUUGCAACCGAUACUUCGAAUUUGGUCAGAAAAUGAAAAUGAAAACAGUUGAGUUUAUGCUGCGCAAGUAAGAAUAAGUUGCAAUUUUACUGUGUUUAUACAUCUUCUUUCCUCAUAUGGUGUCAUAUACAGUUUCCAUGAUGCUCAUCAGGUCUGUGCAUCAUUCAGUAUUGAACUGAGAAUUAAUUCUAAUUGCCAGUUCACUUUUGAAUCAAUGUUUAAAUAAAAUUGACAUCCUCAUUCAUUAAAUGUUCAUCUCUGUUCAAAUUGUAAUUCAGCAUCCCGUGAGGCUGAACCAAACAGAUUCUUUUAUUUUAUUUUAUUUUAUUUUAUUUUAUUUUACACAAACUUGUUUAUUUAUUUAUUUAUUUAUUUAUUUAUUUAUUUAUUUAUUUAUUUAUUUAUUAUUAUUAUUAUUUUUUUUUACGUGCGUGCUGAAUCAGGCAUAUGUCUGGAAAUGAAACACUGUCGCUGUCUCUGUCACCCUUCAUCUCUCGUCCCACCAUGUCAUCAGAUCAUGCUGGUACAAAUGAUUUUUAAUAAAACACAGAGUCAUUCAAACACACACACACACACACACACACACACACACACACACACACACACACACACACACACACACUAUAAACAAAUCCACUCUUAACUCCACUCAUCUUAAACACCAUCCCAUUGAUUUAUUUAUCAGAGGUCCAAGUCCGGACAAGAACCAAAGAUUCCCCCAUAACUUUGACUAUGACAGGUUUGUAUGUGUUUCUGUUUACAGUUUUGCCAUUCUGUCUCACUUACUAUCCCACGACCAAUUUGUACGUAUUUUACAAGGUGGCUAAUCUGUACGAAUCUGUACGACCUCAUGCGUACAAUUUUGUAUGAUUUGUCUAUACCCCAGUAGGUUUAGAGGUCGGGUUAGGGGUAGGUCAUUUGUACAAAUUUAUACAAAUCGGGCAACUUGUAAAAUACAUACAAUUUAUUAAAAAGUGAGUGAGGUCGUACAAAUUUGUAAAAAUUAGACACCUCAUAAAAUAUGCAUGACUUGCCAUGAGAUUGGGUUGCAUAUUCAUGUAUAUAUAUAAGCAGGGAGCAGAGACAUGGACAGACCACUUGACCUAGAACAGAACAUGGCAGACUUGAUGUGAGCAGACUCUGGAAUGGCAGCCAUGUUGUGACGAGGCUCUAGAAUCACUUUUUUUUUAUUACGUGAUGAGACUCUGGAAGAUCAGCGGAGAUGUGACAAGACUCUGGAAUGGCGGUCAUGAUGUGGGCAAGCAACAUAGACUCUGGCGUGACAUGAGCAGGCCCUGGAUUGGCAGACAUGACAUGAGCAGGCAUGAAGGUCAGGACGUGGCAAUGCUCUGUUAUGGUGGGUACUGUAGGACUGCAGGGUUCCUCAUCCGUAAUUCCUACAGUAAAUGAGGAACCACUCAACCGGAGUGCAAAGUCAAGAUACUGCUCCAGAGACCAGUGAGGAGUGUGACACUGCAUUAACGGACAACGUCAUUGAAGUCCACUUGAUAACAAAGUUCACAGAAAUUUGCCACAUAGUCCUCGAUGGCCCAGUUGCCUUGUCGAAGGCGAAAUAAACAAGCUGCUGGGUUCAUGGUUGAGGUUGUGUAUUCUGUAAAACAAAAUGUCCAUUUAAGAACCCAAGUGCAGCUUUUUUCCAAAAGUAAUCCAAAAUACAAACAUAAUCCAAGAGUAUUGACUUGGCAUGAACAGACUUGACUCACCAACAGCAGGUUACAACACCAAUACACCACAAGAGAUGAAGGCUACAUGAGGGCUAUACAUACCAAACAAUCAGGGUCACAAUCCAACCAAUGAGGAAGAAGACACAUGACUUAACCAACCAAUCAGAACAUGACACAAUAAACAAAGGAACCAACAGGCUUGUUUGAGUUGAACUGUACAGCAGCCGCUUGCAGUCGGGGUGGAAUUAAAAGUGGAGACGUCAAAUUGGACACUUUCUGCUCUUGGUAGUGACGCUUGCACGGUGUUUGCAUACUCUUAUCACAGAUAAAGUGAUUUAAAUGAAAUAUUUGUCAAAUUCACAUAAACGUUUUUAUGAGCAACAGAAACAUUUUUUAUAUACUGCUUAAUACAGCGCCAUCUGUUCAAGAAUAAAGUACAGCAUAAACAAACUAAAUACCAAUAAAGUGUAUUUGAUAAAAAAUGACUACAUGACUACAAACAGUGUGACUACACUAAAAAAGCUUUUGCUAUUAUAAAAACAGAUUUGUGAGCAUUAUUGGAAUUUAAUUGUUAGAAUAAACAUGCAAUACAUGUCCUUUUUGUCAUCACAGAAUCUAACUAAUGAGAAUGAAGUGUGUCGUCAUCAAGGCUCUCACAGCCAGCAACUGCAGCGCUUGACCUAGGCAGCUGGUCUUGUUUUGCUCUUGUGGUACUUUGAUGGCACAUGUGACAAUAAGACGGCUGCAACCCCGAUCAAAGUCAGACAAAUGUUCUAACCAGAAUGCCUUGCUUUUGUCAGGUGGCAGCUGAUCUUUGCGGUGCCAGAUAAAGUCGAACAAGCCUAAUAGCAGGAAUACAAGAGGGCAAAGGAACCACAUGACUAGAUAGGAACCAUGACUAAACUCCAAAAUAAAAGACAUGAGAGCAAUAUACAAAAAACACAAACAAAACCCCACAUUACAGUUACUCCCCAACACUGUAUAAAUACCAGAUUUUGAAGUUUCCCUGGAUUCUGGUUUCUGUUAACACUAUAUUUUUUGGGUUAGAAC
ensembl:lncRNA